CCAAUGCCAGCUCUUUGCCAAUCUGCUUGGGUGUGUUUGUGUGCCAGUGAGAUUCUGGUGGGAAGCCCCUGCACUGGAGGCCAGGGGUGGCUUAUAAGCCCGAACCCCAGCUGGUGUUGGGUUAGGUGAAGCUUCGCGAGAACAGUCGCCCCUUUUGGGAGCGCGAGAGAAAGUGAAAUUAUAUUGAGCAGAAGUAUAAAGUUAGAUGCAAGUUGCCACAAAAAGGUCAUCAAAUUGAAGAAAAUGCACCAAAGAGCCCAGCUGUUAUAACAAAGAUAUCUGUGCAGAGAGCAUUAAUUAAAAUCUGUCAUUAAUGAAGCUAAUCAGUUACUCUAGAUUGGUAUUGCGCCAAUUUAAAAGAAAAAGAAAAAAACAACAACAAAAAAAACACAUUAGAUUCGCAUCCAAGCUUUCAACACAACAAUGUAGCCCCAAAACAGUACUAAACGAUUUCUCAAAUUUAAAGAUUUGUUUAUGUGACACUGUGCCUGAAAAGGCUAUAAAUGCUGCAAUAUUCUUGUACAUAUUCAAAAAAUAUUGUUGGUUAAGGGAUGAGACAAAUCUAAAAAGCUCACAUGGUGUUAAAUGCAUGCACAGGAUCUUGUAAGUCAGUCAAGACUAAAAUGCCCUACAAAAAGCUGUUGAAUUUUCCACAAUGACCAAAUCCAGAGUGCAAUUCACUGCACUGGGUUUGAGCGUCUGGUUUUUGUUUUGUUUUUUUUGCUUCUCUAGCAUUUGCUGCCAAGUUGGUCGUUUUCUCCUUUUUUUGCUGCUAGGAGUAACAAACUCCCUGAACCCAGUUCCUUGGAUGGUUUAAGUUGUUUGCUUUAUGACAGCCAACCUCCACUCUUCAAAAUAAAGCAAAUCUUAGCUUGCAAUCUGAUACUUUAGUACUCAUUUCCUACUUUAAUGUUUCUACACCUGCUAAAGUACCCCGAGAUUAGUACUAGGAGUAGUUUUAUACAAGUACAAAUGUCCAGUAGGAUUUAAAAUAAAUAAAUAAAUAAGUAUAUAUAUACCUACACACACACACACACACACACACACACACACACACACACACACACACACACACACACAACCAACAUUUAUGUAUACAUAUAUACAUAAAUAUAAAACAAAACUGAGCAAUAGAGAAAUAGACGAGUUAUCCAGUCAACUAAAAAUCAAGCCCACCACUUUUCAUACAAAUGAUCAAAACAUUUACACUGCCUUCGAAGACAGAACAAAGACUUCAGGUGGCUCUCAGCCACUCCUUGGCUUUGAGAAGUGAUGCGCAGAGUACGGCACCACCCAAACAAUGUAGGGGCAGAGUCUAGCGAAAUCUGCCCAGUGACAGCAAAUAAACUGGCAAGUGCUAGCUCAACAGGAAUGCAGGCCUCAGACGGUGGUUCUCAACUUCAAGGUGAGGGAACAAUGCCGGCCUAUUUGAUUUUUUGAUUUUUCUUUUUAAACAAAAAACCCCAAAACAAAACAAAUGCACGUCAUCAGAGCAAAAAACAAACAAACAAACAAAACAAAAACAAGAAAAUCCCUAAAAUGUUUGUUAGAAAUCUCAGAGGAAUUAAACUAUACGAAUCCAUGUUAUUCUCUAAUCCACAUUUUAAUAAGAUCUCUGGAAUGGGUGUGUAUUUAAAAAAAUAAAUAAAAAAAUAAAAAAAAUGAAAAUGACAUGCAUCUGUGCAGCCCUCCUUAAAAAUCUGAUUGGACUGUGUGUGAAGAGGACUGACCCCAGAUCCCCGCUGAUGCUGAAGCACCCCUUCAGUAGGAAUACAGCUGGCUGAAGCUCCAGAUUUAGUAUCUGCGAGUCACAAACCAUAAAUUAUUAGCUCCCAAGAUAAAAUGAGACUCUGUAGUACAAUUUCUCCAACCCCACUGCCACCACCACCCCUCGCUCUCAUCGUACCUUAUUUACAAAGGCAGAAAAUGUAACCAUGGGAACACACUACCAGGCAACCUCAGUGGCUUGGCAUGAUGCCCAAUGGUUGCUAGGGCACUGUUGUCAAUGGCUAUUGGGUUGUGUGGGCCAGUGUGUGAGUAGGAGAGAUUGAACACUCUCACACAAAUACACAAGUUUGUAGAUUACACACAAUAUCUAGGCAUUAAAUAAAUGUAGACCAACAUGGUAGUGUUCCAUUUCCAUAAUAGGGGCUUUUAUAUGCAUCUAGUGUGUAAUUAUUUUAAAUAAUAUGGGCCAUUUAAAAAAAAUGUAUUUAUUUUUUUAUUAAUGGUUUGACUGUGGUUGACAAAUGAUGCAAGGCCGCUUUUGUUGGCUAACAGACAAAAGGAAAGAUUAAGCCUGCAGGCAGUUACAU
ensembl:lncRNA